UACGUAGGGGGCGAGCGUUGUCCGGAUUUACUGGGCGUAAAGGGCGUGCAGGCGGUUUGUUAAGUGCAGGGUGAAAGCUCCCGGCUCAACUGGGAGAGGUCCUUGCAUACUGGCGAACUCGAGGGAGGCAGAGGAAAGUGGAAUUCCCGGUGUAGUGGUGAUAUGCGUAGAUAUCGGGAGGAACACCUGUGGCGAAGGCGGCUUUCUGGGCCUUACCUGACGCUGAGACGCGAAAGCGUGGGGAGCGAACCGG
rnacentral:rRNA from 1 species